AGAGUUUGAUCAUGGCUCAGGACGAACGCUGGCGGCGUGCUUAACACAUGCAAGUCGAACGAGGUCCAGCCGAGCCUUCGGGCAACGCGAAGACCUAGUGGCGAACGGGUGCGUAACACGUGAGGAACCUGCCCCGGACUUGGGAAUAACAGUCGGAAACGGCUGCUAAUACCGAAUAUCUCCGUAGCGUCGCAUGGCGCAUCGAAGAAAGCUUUUGCGGUCUGGGAGGGCCUCGCGGCCUAUCAGCUAGUUGGCGAGGUAACGGCUCACCAAGGCAUCGACGGGUAGCUGGUCUGAGAGGAUGAUCAGCCACACUGGGACUGAGACACGGCCCAGACUCCUACGGGAGGCAGCAGUGGGGAAUAUUGCACAAUGGGCGAAAGCCUGAUGCAGCAACGCCGCGUGCGGGAAGAAGGCCUUAGGGUUGUAAACCGCUUUCAGCAGGGAAGAAACUGACGGUACCUGCAGAAGAAGGUGCGGCCAACUACGUGCCAGCCGCCGCGGUAAUAC
rnacentral:rRNA from 1 species